UGGCGUCGUCGUCAGCUCGUGUCGUGAGAUGUUGGGUUAAGUCCCGCAACGAGCGCAACCCUCGCCUUUAGUUGCCAUCAUUCAGUUGGGCACUCUAAAGGGACUGCCGGUGAUAAGCCGCGAGGAAGGUGGGGAUGACGUCAAGUCCUCAUGGCCCUUACGGGCUGGGCUACACACGUGCUACAAUGGCGGUGACAGUGGGAUGCAAAGGGGCGACCCCUCGCAAAUCUCAAAAAGCCGUCUCAGUUCGGAUUGUACUCUGCAACUCGAGUGCAUGAAGUUGGAAUCGCUAGUAAUCGUGGAUCAGCAUGCCACGGUGAAUACGUUCCCGGGCCUU
rnacentral:rRNA from 1 species